rnacentral:rRNA from 1 species
CCCCCCAACCUUUUAAACCUAAACCGGCACGCGAGUGAAGCGGCAAAAGCUCAAAUUUGAAAUCUGGUACCUUCGGUGCCCGAGUUGUAAUUUGGAGAGGGCAACUUUGGGGCCGUUCCUUGUCUAUGUUCCUUGGAACAGGACGUCAUAGAGGGUGAGAAUCCCGUGUGGCGAGGAGUGCGGUUCUUUGUAAAGUGCCUUCGAAGAGUCGAGUUGUUUGGGAAUGCAGCUCUAAGUGGGUGGUAAAUUCCAUCUAAAGCUAAAUAUUGGCGAGAGACCGAUAGCGAACAAGUACAGUGAUGGAAAGAUGAAAAGAACUUUGAAAAGAGAGUGAAAAAGUACGUGAAAUUGUUGAAAGGGAAGGGCAUUUGAUCAGACAUGGUGUUUUGUGCCCUCUGCUCCUUGUGGGUAGGGGAAUCUCGCAUUUCACUGGGCCAGCAUCAGUUUUGGUGGCAGGAUAAAUCCAUAGGAAUGUAGCUUGCCUCGGUAAGUAUUAUAGCCUGUGGGAAUACUGCCAGCUGGGACUGAGGACUGCGACGUAAGUCAAGGAUGCUGGCAUAAUGGUUAUAUGCCGCCCGUCUUGAAACACGGACCA